CAGCAGCCCUCCGACGUCUUUUCCGUGGCCUCUUAGGUUUAGCGCCACCGUGUGUCCGGAGUAAGGAACCGCUAGAAUUUCCCCUUCUCUGCGACGUGACUCGGAACUGAGCUAGAGCAGUCUUAGAACACCUUCGAAUUCUCCCUGAAACAGGGAAUUAAUUAUACACAAAGAACGCAGCAAUGUGUGCUCGCGAUGCCUUCCGCGACGUGACUCAGUGACCGAGUCUGUGGAAUGGUCCAGGAGAAGUGACAUGCUGUCGAACUGACCCACCCAGCUAUCUCUCUCCAUUCAGACUUUAAACAGAGUGUGACUGCAGGUCAGAGGUGCCUGAGAGAAAGGAAGGGAGGAGGAGGGCCGCUCCCUCGCUUUGAACACCAGAGUGUGACUUGUGCAAAGGAACAGGAGCCCAAGGGAGCCUUUUUAUUCCAGCUUUACUGCCCCUCAGGUCAAGAUAAACUGACAGGCUACAUGCUCUACACAGUUCCAUCAGCAGGUGGCGAAUGGACAAGCAGAAGGUGCUGUACACACAAUGGACUAUGAUGCAGAUUUAAGAAGAAAGGAAAUCCUGACGCAUGCGGCAGAUGGAUGCACCUUAAGGACAUUAGCCAGUGAAACAAGCCAGUUCCAAGAAGACAGAGCUGGGUAAUUCCUUUUCAAGUGUGUGAGCUACCUACAGCAGUCAAACACAGGAAGUAGGAAGGCAGCUGUAGGGCUGAGGGCGGUGGGGAACCGGAAGCUCAUUGUUUAGUAGGCACAGAGUUUCAGUCUGGGAAGAUGGAUGAGCGCUGGAGAUAGAGGGUGGUGUGGAUGUACCAUACUGUGAAUGUCCUUCCUGUACUGUCACUGAACUGUGAGCUUAAAAUGGUUAAGAUGGCAGAUUUUAUGUUACAUGUAUUUUUACCACAAAAAGUUAAAUUGAAA